rnacentral:lncRNA from 1 species
CUGCACGGACCCUGUGCCCUGGCAACAAGAUACUCUGAGAUAAAAGGCUGGCUGGCUGGAGUUUAGUCUGGUGAUGCUGGAAGCUGCAGGUCAUCACCAAGGACUUCAAGAUCCUCCACUAAUCAAAGAGCAGCACUGCUAAAUGGAUCCAGUCCUGAUCCACAUCCCACUGCCUUCCAGAAGGGGAGGAAAAAUGAGACCGUACUGCCAGCCACCUGUUCCCCCAGAGCCCAGCACGUGCUUCCAGAUCUGCUUUCCAGCAGAAGGCACGGGUCACUCACUGUCCCAGAGUUCAACAAUUAGUCAGACUGGCUGACCAGUAAGCCUGCUGAGGAAGGAUGGUCCUGUCUCUCCGCUGCCCCAAUCCUGCCAUCACAAGCGUGGGUCAGUACUUCCAGCUUUUAUGUGGGUGCUGAGGAUCUGAACUGCCUGCUGGCAUGGACCAACGAAUGAAGGUGAUCAUUUUGGGUCAUGCUUCAUGGAGGUUUACAACUCAAGACAUGACGAUGCCACCACACCCCAAGUUCUUCUAGUUCUUCUGUCCCUCCCGGAAUCUGUUCUCUCUGCACACUUGGCAUGUGGUAGAAAGGUUGGAGACACUGGGGCUGAGCUGAGGGGCCCUGUACACUUAUGCCACCUAUAGCUGAUCCACGGGUGACUGUGGUGACCUGCAUGCUACCAAAUUCUAGUGUUCACAAAUGAGUCCAAAGUUUAGCUGAAAUUUCCAACUAAUUGAUCCCAGGGCCAUUUUGUAGGAUUCUAUGAGGCUCAUGGUAACUCUCUCUUUAAGAUAUUCCUCAUAUGCC